UGAAGAAUUUGUCCAACGGCGGGGGAUAGCCGGCCCAACGGCCGGGUAAUACCGCGUACGACCCUCGGGGGGCAUCCCCUGAAGGUGAAAGCCGCAAGGCGCCGAUGGAGAACUUCGCGGCCUAUCAGCUAGUUGGUGGGGUCAUGGCCUACCAAGGCGACGACGGGUAGCUGGUCCGAGAGGAUGACCAGCCACAUUGGGACUGAGAAACGGCCCAGACUCCUACGGGAGGCAG
rnacentral:rRNA from 1 species